rnacentral:rRNA from 1 species
UACGUAGGGACCAAGCGUUGUUCGGAUUUACUGGGCGUAAAGGGCGCGUAGGCGGCUUAACAAGUCACUUGUGAAAUCUCCGGGCUUAACUCGGAACGGCCAAGUGAAACUGUCAAGCUAGAGUGCAGAAGGGGCAAUCGGAAUUCUUGGUGUAGCGGUGAAAUGCGUAGAUAUCUGGAGGAACACCGGUGGCGAAGGCGGCAUUCUGGACCGACAUUGACGCUGAGGAGCGAAAGCCAGGGGAGCAAACGGG